UCAGUCGGGCAAACCAAAUUAUCGAAGUUUUUUUUUUUUUAUUUAUAUUAUAUUUAAUAUUAUCCUUUUCCAAAAAUGGGUAAAUGUGAUAAGGAGUUAAUUAUAAAACUUUUGUGCGAAUUUCUUGCCAGCUUCUUUGUACAAUUUAUUGGCUGCACUCUUACCGAGGAAACCGUCUUAGGUAUCUCAUUGCCUACAACGGGCUCAUUUCCCUAUGCAAUGAGCUGGGGCGGAAGUGUCCUUGCGGCGACACAAGCAUUCCGGAUAGUGUCUGGUGCACACAUAAAUCCGUGUAUUUCCAUUGCAUCCAUGAUACUCGAGAACGUAGGCAUUCUCGAUGGCAUGCUUUAUAUACUUAUGCAACUUAUCGGAUCAGCCUUGGGCUUCGGUCUCUCAUUUGGCAUAUUCUAUGAUUCGAAAUUCAAAAACAAGAAAUUUUGCUGUACUGCGAUAACGCUGGAUCCUUGGUGGAAAGCGAUACUGUUGGAAUUUUAUAUGACCGGAGCCUGGGUAUUUGCCAUGUGCGCUUCAUGGCAUGAAAGCAACGAGAUGAUGUUGGAGUCCAUUUCGCUACGGAUUGGAUUGGUCGUCGUUGCUGCCACCUAUGUUGGAGCCAAUUUCACGCGAUCCUGCAUGAGUCCAUUCAGAUCCCUCUGGCCAGCAAUAGCUGCAGGUGAAUACAAGCACAUCUACGUCUAUGUGGCUGUGCCUCCACUCACGGCUAUUCUGCUGGCGGUAGCCUGGCGAUUUCUCUAUCUGCAAGGCAAAUCCGAGACUGUCAAGCCUGAAGGAGGUGGUGACUAAGGGGAACGGAUUUCUCUCCACAAUGUGGAAAAGAAACACAAGAGUAACCAAAAGUCAAAUGCAAAUUUUUUCUGAACUCUUCAAAACUGAAGAACAAUAUAUCAAUAUGUUGGGAAGCGAAAAUAUUCAUGGUGAUGAUAUAUAGACAAUCGACUAUCGACAAGCCCCGCCUACCCCUAUUAACAAAAGCCACAAUUGUAAUUGGUA
rnacentral:misc_RNA from 1 species